CUGUCUUUGUGAGGUCAUUGAUGCAAUGUCUGUGUCAUAUCUGUGGGGGUUCUGACGCUUGCUUUCUCUCUCCGGGCCCUGCUUCUCUUGCUUUCGGGGUGUCCUUUGGUUUUUGUUGGAUGUGUGUCACAUGCCGGAAAGGAUCCUCCGAGGAUCUGGACGUGCGGACCCCGUGUUUGUGGUGUGCAGCUGGGGGCCAGGUGUCCGUGCGCUGGUUCCCGUCCCCGUGCUGGGACCUCUCUGUCCCAGGAGGGGCCCGCGGCCAGCACACCUGCCAGCUGUCCCCACGACAGCUGUGGUUCGACAGGAGGAGCACCCGUAACCUCAUCGCCCAGCUCUCUGUGCCUCUGGGCCUGUGCUGCCCAGGCUGCUGCUGUGUCCCCAGACACCCGGCCGCUGUGGCUGCACCUGUUUGCUUUCCUCCCCGAGCUGCGAAUACCACCAAGACACGAUUGGCGCUGCGAAGGAACCCUAAUGACCGCACCCUGCUUGUGCGGGAGAUGCUUUGGGGACGGCAGAAGCCCACAGCUGCUGACUGGAGCAGGUGCACAGGGAGCCCUCGAGGUCUCAGGGAGGAGCCCGAGCACAGGCGGCCCCACCAUACCCACGGACCGUUUCUCCUACGGGGAGUCUUACUAAGGGCAUGUGAAAGAGUCUUUGAGGAUACAUGGGCAACAACUUCCAUUAUGGGUAUGGAGGGUGACAUGUGUCAAGUGUGGUUUGGGUAGAAAGGGAUCAUAUUAUAGUUGUAUGACAUUCACCACGUGUGACCUGGCAUAUCCAUUCACAUGAGGAUCGACCUCUGGCAGGUACAGUGAAAUUCCCAGAGAAGAACUGUCUCUUAUGGCUUCUUUGCUACUAUCUCUGUCUCUAUUUGGUGGCAAGUCUUGUUGAAAGGGUCAGCUUUGUUAUUCCUCUUUGCCAUUUUCCCAUAGCACCUAUUAUGUGAUCGAUAUCGAAUCAAUAUCGAUUGACUACAUAGAUAAGUAACUGAAUGAAUUUUCUACGUAAAGAAAACUUUACUCUGGGAUAAUUUAAGAAAAAAAAUCUAUGAGAAGUUAAAUUUCUUCCCUUAACAUUGUGAAUAGUAAGACGUAUUUUCAGGGGCACCUGGGUGGCUCAGUCAUAAGCGUCCGUCUCUUGAUUUCAGCUCAGGUCGUGAUCUCAUGGUCGUGGGAUUGAGCCUUGCAUUGGGCUCUGAACUGACAGCACAGAGCCAACUUGGGAUUCUCUCUCUCUUUCUGCCCCUCCAUCCCUCUCUCUCUCUCUCUCUCUGUCUCUCUCUGUCUCAAAAUAAAUAAUAAACUUAAAAAAAAAGGAUGUGUUUU
rnacentral:lncRNA from 1 species